CAGUCGCCGCGGGAAUACGAAGGGUGCAAGCGUUACUCGGAAUUACUGGGCGUAAAGCGUGCGUAGGUGGUGGUUUAAGUCCGUUGUGAAAGCCCUGGGCUCAGCCUGGGAAUUGCAGUGGAUACUGGGUCACUAGAGUGUGGUAGAGGAUAGUGGAAUUUCCGGUGUAGCAGUGAAAUGCGUAGAGAUCGGAAGGAACAUCUGUGGCGAAGGCGACUAUCUGGGCCAACACUGACACUGAGGCACGAAAGCGUGGGGAGCAAACAGGAUUAGAUACCCCAGUAGUCCCUGUUUCUUAUAC
rnacentral:rRNA from 1 species